AAUAUUGGACAAUGGGGGCAACCUUAUCCAGCCCUUCCGCGUGGGUGAAGAAAGUCCUCGGGAUUUAAAACACCUUAAGUUGGGGGGGAGGGGUUUAGGCUAAUUCCCUGAAGGUUUUACGGUACCAACAGAAUAAGCAACGGCCUACUCUGUUCCCGCAGCCGCGGUAAUACAGAGGGUGCAAGCGUUAAUCGGAAUUACUGGGCGUAAAGCGCGCGUAGGUGGUUCAGUAAGAUGGGUGUGAAAUCCCCGGGCUUAACCUGGGAACUGCUUUCAUAACUGCUGAGCUAGAGUACGGUAGAGGGUAGUGGAAUUUCCUGUGUAGCGGUGAAAUGCGUAGAUAUAGGAAGGAACACCAGUGGCGAAGGCGACUACCUGGACUGAUACUGACACUGAGGUGCGAAAGCGUGGGGAGCAAACAG
rnacentral:rRNA from 1 species